rnacentral:sRNA from 1 species
CGCACGGACCCGCCGAAUCGUGUUCACGAACCGGGGACCCAGGUACGUCGGGGUGAAUCCGCAGGGCCACGGCCCGCGGUAGGGCGCUCUUCCCGCCCGAAUCCGUCAGCUAACCCGGUAGGCGGUCGCGGAAGGAGCU